rnacentral:rRNA from 1 species
CCACCUUUGACAUCCCGUGCUAUCUAGAGAGAUCUAGAGUCCCUUCGGGGCGCGGAGACAGGUGCUGCAUGGCUGUCGUCAGCUCGUGUCGUGAGAUGUUGGGUUAAGUCCCGCAACGAGCGCAACCCUCGCUUCUAGUUGCCAGCAUUUAGUUGGGCACUCUAGAGGAACUGCCUGCGCCAAGCAGGAGGAAGGCGGGGAUGACGUCAAGUCCUCAUGGCCCUUACAGGUGGGGCUACACACGUGCUACAAUGGCGGUGACAGAGGGAUAAUCCCUUAAAAGCCGUCUCAGUUCGGAUUGUCCUCUGCAACUCGAGGGCAUGAAGUUGGAAUCGCUAGUAAUCGCGGAUCAGCACGCCGCGGUGAAUACGUUCCC